ensembl:lncRNA
GCCGCCGCCGCCGCCGCCGCCGCCGCCGCCACCUCCCCCCCACCCCCCGCGUCUCGGCCGAGACUCCGCCUCUCUCGGCCGCCGCCGCGACCGCCAGUCGGGCUAGGGGAGCACGUGACCGCGCCACGUGACCCGGCGCCUCCCCGGUCGGACCCGCGGCGGGUGGCGCUGCCCGGUGCGCGCGCGCGCGCGGGCCCGGGAGCGGGGUGCGGUCUCGAGCCUCCCACGCGCCGCUCGACUCCCCAGACUCUAGCACCUCCCGCGUCGCCCGCCUCCGCCUGGGCGCCCAGCCUGGACCACUCACCUCCUCCAGAGUCCUCACGCCCGAUCUUGUCAGCGGGGGCCGGAAGUGGACAUCACGCCUUCUCCUACCCAGACAGAGCCGCUGCAGAGCACACAGCGACUCGUACUAUGAGCAACGUGGCUCCCCUGGAAACAGUCAUUCAAGUGUCUUCGGCGGUGCUGCUGCUGUCACUAUGCUUGUAGGUAUCUCCCCUCCCUCCUGGCUGUAGCCAAAUUUAAAGCCCAAAGAAUUGGCUGAUUCAACCCUUCAGGCACCAAGGUAUUCAGCACAGGCACAUGGAACCCGGAUCCUAGACAUCGGGAGAUGGCAAAAGAGCCAGAGCUUUUGGAGAACAAGAGACAAGCCUUUGGUCUCUCGAUGUGUUCUGAGAGCCAAAAAUGUUUGUGCCAACUUAGACUUCAUUACUGGAAACACAGCAUGCCACACAAAGAAUAAAAUGCCCACUUCCCCUGGACUGCCCUGAGCCAAGCCACAUCCAUACAACACUCCUACCAAUCCUGGGUGCUACCAGUCACAUACAAAAGGAUUGAGGACUGUCAAAAUCAGUGGCUGAGAGGCUGGGAGCACUGGAAGUGAAGUUAUUGAAAGCAGGAGAUGAGCUCUGGUGAGCGUGUGUAUGGCUGUGUUGAGGCUCUAAGGUUAUGUGCUGGGACAAUUUUGACCCAAACUUGCCAUCUAGGAAGCAGCCACCACAGAGUUGGCAGCUGAGUGCUAUAAAGUCUGAGGCUGAAGACAUCGGAGUAACGUAGCGGAAGUGAA